GGGACAAGUCACAGUAUAGAUGGCAGUUCAACAAAAUAACCUCUUUAUCUUAGCAUAUAUCAUCCUCCUGAAAAGCUGUUGAAUCAAACCUCCAUCAACAUAUUAGACUGUUGGAGGUCACCAUAGUGACCAUUCUGUGUGGAGAACAGAAGAUGUUGGAAAGGCUUUUAAGAAUGAUCUAAGUAUUGCUAAUGAGGUCAAUAUAACAGUUUCAUAAGGAUUAAGAUCUAUCAGUUGGUAGAACUGAAUCAAAGACUCUCUGCUAAGCCUUUAUCAUGCCUUUUUCUGGACCUAGCAUAUGUAGAGCAUGGUUAAGAAUCUGGAUUAACCAAAUCAAAAGCUAUUCACACCUUCCAAGUGGUGACCAUUUCAGACCUUUGGAACAGCCUCCCACCUGAGAUCAGAGGACUUCCGACCAUUUUAACCUUCUGGUGGGCAAUAAAGAAAUAACAGCCCCCCACAAGCAUUGGACCUAGGUGCUCCUAGAGAUGCCUUUUAAUAAUUUGAAGAAACAGCAACACAAACAAAUCAGAAAUUCAAUAACUGCAUUAGGAAGAAAUUCUAGUUGCUCAAGAUUGCUAUUUUCCAGAGUCAGAAUGGAAAAAAGGCUUUCAAAUCAACAGAUUUUUACAUGUUGCAGCAGGCUUUCUCUUUGAAAAUAUUCUCUUAAUUGUGUUCCAGUGAGGAUUCAUGGUGAGCUAGAUGUCCCUAUUUGAAUGGAAGGUGUCUACAGCAGAGAUCAUGAGUGGAUACAGGAGCCAGAAGUCUCUCCAGAACAAAGUGAAAGUGAAAGAUAACCCAUGUUUCUCUGUAGAGCGACUCUUCAAGCAAAGUUUGCAGAAUCACAAGUUUUUGUAAUUAACUUUUGAAUUCAGCAGUUGGGAGUCAGGAAUGGCUGACUUUCUUGGCUGACAUUCAUAACACUGCCUUUUUUAUGCAAAAAAGCUUAACUUUGCCUCA